rnacentral:rRNA from 1 species
UUGAACGCUGGCGGAAUGCUUUACACAUGCAAGUCGAGCGGCAGCGCGGGGGCAACCCUGGCGGCGAGCGGCGAACGGGUGAGUAACACAUCGGAACGUACCCAGUUGUGGGGGAUAGCCCGGCGAAAGCCGGAUUAAUACCGCAUACGCCCUGAGGGGGAAAGUGGGGGAUCGCAAGACCUCACGUUAUUCGAGCGGCCGACGUCUGAUUAGCUAGUUGGUGGGGUAAAGGCUCACCAAGGCGACGAUCAGUAGCGGGUCUGAGAGGAUGAUCCGUCACACUGGAACUGAGACACGGUCCAGACUCCUACGGGAGGCAGCAGUGGGGAAUUUUGGACAAUGGGGGCAACCCUGAUCCAGCCAUUCCGCGUGAGUGAAGAAGGCCUUCGGGUUGUAAAGCUCUUUCAGCCGGAACGAAACGGUACGCUCUAACAUAGCGUGCUAAUGACGGUACCGGCAGAAGAAGCACCGGCUAACUACGU